UACGUAGGGUGCGAGCGUGUCCGGAAUUAUUGGGCGUAAAGAGCUCGUAGGCGGUUUGUCGCGUCGACUGGUGAAAACCCGAGGCUUAACCUCGGGCCUGCAGUCGAUACGGGCAGACUAGAGUUCGGUAGGGGAGACUGGAAUUCCUGGUGUAGCGGUGAAAUGCGCAGAUAUCAGGAGGAACACCGGUGGCGAAGGCGGGUCUCUGGGCCGUAACUGACGCUGAGGAGCGAAAGCGUGGGGAGCGAACGG
rnacentral:rRNA from 1 species